rnacentral:rRNA from 1 species
GAUGAACGCUGGCGGCGUGCUUAACACAUGCAAGUCGAACGAAGCACUUUGAAAGCUUGCUUUUAAAGUGACUGAGUGGCGGACGGGUGAGUAACGCAUGGGUAACCUGCCUCACACAGGGGGAUAACAGUUAGAAAUGACUGCUAAUACCGCAUAAGCCCCCGGUACCGCAUGGUACAGAGGGAAAAGAUUUAUCGGUGUGAGAUGGACCCGCGUCUGAUUAGCUAGUUGGUGGGGUAACGGCCUACCAAGGCGACGAUCAGUAGCCGACCUGAGAGGGUGACCGGCCACAUUGGGACUGAGACACGGCCCAAACUCCUACGGGAGGCAGCAGUGGGGAAUAUUGCACAAUGGGCGCAAGCCUGAUGCAGCGACGCCGCGUGAGUGAAGAAGUAUUUCGGUAUGUAAAGCUCUAUCAGCAGGGAAGAUAAUGACAGUACCUGACUAAGAAGCUCCGGCUAAAUACGUGCCAGCAGCCGCCGUAAGAC